GACGAACGCUGGCGGCGUGCUUAACACAUGCAAGUCGAGCGGUAAGGCCCUUUCGGGGGUACGACGAGCGGCGAACGGGUGAGUAACACGUGGGUGACCUGCCCUUAGCUCUGGGAUAAGCCUGGGAAACUGGGUCUAAUACCGGAUAUGACUCCAUGACGCAUGUUGUGGGGUGGAAAGCCUUGUGCGGCUAGGGAUGGGCCCGCGGCCUAUCAGCUUGUUGGUGGGGUGAUGGCCACCAAGGCGACGACGGGUAGCCGGCCUGAGAGGGCGACCGGCCACACUGGGACUGAGACACGGCCCACGACUCCUACGGGAGGCAGCAGUGGGGAAUCUUGCGCAAUGGGCGAAAGCCUGACGCAGCGACGCCGCGUGAGGGAUGACGGCCU
rnacentral:rRNA from 1 species